GACGAACGCUGGCGGUGUGCUUCACACAUGCAAGUCGAACGAGGUAGCAAUACCUAGUGGCGGACGGGUGAGUAACGCGUGGGAAUCUGCCUUUAGAUGGGGGAUAACGGGCCGAAAGGUCCGCUAAUACCGCAUAUGCCGCAAGGUGAAAGGAGUAAUCCGUCUAAAGAUGAGCCCGCGUCCGAUUAGCUAGUUGGUAGAGUAAAAGCCUACCAAGGCGACGAUCGGUAGCUGGUCUGAGAGGAUGAUCAGCCACAAUGGGACUGAGACACGGCCCAUACUCCUACGGGAGGCAGCAGUGGGGAAUUUUACGCAAUGGGGGAAACCCUGACGUAGCGACACCGCGUGAGCGAAGAAGCCCUUUGGGGUGUAAAGCUCUGUCAGCUGGAACGAAAACAAUGACGGUAC
rnacentral:rRNA from 1 species